GGGAAAUUAGGUGCGCUGGGGGUUUCAGUUGCGCCGAAAGGCGCUCUGUAAUCAUUUAAAAGUAUUUUGAACGGACCUCUGUUUGACACGUCUG
rnacentral:misc_RNA from 1 species